rnacentral:rRNA from 1 species
UACGGAGGGGGCUAGCGUUGUUCGGAAUUACUGGGCGUAAAGCGCACGUAGGCGGCUUUGUAAGUUAGAGGUGAAAGCCCGGGGCUCAACUCCGGAAUUGCCUUUAAGACUGCAUCGCUAGAAUUGUGGAGAGGUAAGUGGAAUUCCGAGUGUAGAGGUGAAAUUCGUAGAUAUUCGGAAGAACACCAGUGGCGAAGGCGACUUACUGGACACAUAUUGACGCUGAGGUGCGAAAGCGUGGGGAGCAAACAGGAUUAGAUACCCUG